rnacentral:rRNA from 1 species
UACGUAGGGUGCGAGCGUUGUCCGGAAUUAUUGGGCGUAAAGAGCUUGUAGGCGGUCUGUCGCGUCUGCUGUGAAAAUCCGGGGCUCAACCCCGGACUUGCAGUGGGUACGGGCAGACUAGAGUGUGGUAGGGGAGACUGGAAUUCCUGGUGUAGCGGUGAAAUGCGCAGAUAUCAGGAGGAACACCGAUGGCGAAGACAGGUCUCUGGGCCGUAACUGACGCUGAGGUGCGAGAGCGUGGGGAGCGAACCGG